CAGCACAGCCAUGUCAAACUGCCAUAGCCAUAUCACCCUGCAGCCCAAGACUGGUUACUCAUUGAAGCUAAGCAGAUCUGAGCCUGGUCAGUACCUGAAUGGGAGACCACAAAGGUUGCUGUUGGAAGUUGUGUUAG
rnacentral:rRNA from 1 species